UGGAGGAAGUAGGAAGAAUCUAGAGAGAAUUAGACGCAAGGGGAAGGAAGAGAGCGGCAGGAGGUAACUCCAAACAACCACCAGCCACGGUCUUCCUUUGGCAACAUGAGUUCAAAAAGAAGAUCAAAACAUAAAGAAUGUGUUUCACAGAACAAAAUGUAGAUGUAGACGAGGCUGAACAGUGAUGUCAGAGAAAACUGGACUAUGCACUCAAGAUCACAGGAAUUACUUUGCUAAAGGUAUGAGAAGUGGAAGAUGUUUGAGAAGCUCUGAUCUAUAAGAAGGGUACUUAUGAGCUCAUGGGGUGAGACUUCAACAAAAGCAAAACAACAUCAACAAUAAAACACCGUGAAAACCUAUUAAAGGCAUUGUGCACCCGGUGAACAUUCUACAGAAUGCCUGCCCUGGAGUCUGCUGUUACACGUGCCGUUGCAUGGUUACAGAAUCUUACCAUGGGGAAGAAACUGACUUCGAACCUCCCUUUCUGAGAUGCUGAGGAGAGAGGAAUUACAUUUUCUCACAAGGUGGUAGUUUGAAUGCUUGACCCAUGGGA